GAGAGAGAGAGAGAGAGAGAGAGAGAGAGAGAGAGAGUCAUUGGUGGGGAAGUUACUCAACUAAGUGAAACUCCACUGUUUUCGCAACUAAAAGGACAAAAGUGACAGAUAGCGUGGGAUAUUCAUGCUUUCAGAAAUAAAAUGACAAAGGGGCCAUCAGUGGAGGACUGCUGGCAAAUGUCUCGGCCAGUGGUUAACAGACUGUGACUCAGAACUGCAAAUUAGAGAUUUGAUCGAAUGGUAUAGGGCACUGCAUUGGCCUGCGGACGGUUCCUGGCAUGUCUGUGAAGUGUGGCGGUGCCCUGUGGGGACGGGAACACACACACACCAGCCCCCCCAGCAUCCCCCCUCGCAACAGCUGCCGUGCUGCAGGAGGCAGCCGUACCCCUCGCUGAUCAAAUCUUGUCCGUCACAUUUCCCCUAAUUAACGGGCAUCUGCUUCCCCCAUUUUCCCUACAUGGCUACACACUUUCCCUCUGUAGUUCCAAUCAUCUGAUCGUUAUGACCUUUAACCCCUCCGAGCUCGUCUGGCUCGGAGCAUGCCUGUGUUUGCCCGCCUGCCCACCCUCCUUUCUGCUUACCUGCCUGCCACAUACCAGCUGGGGAGACGCAAGGGCAUGCAAACAAACAAACCAACGAGGCAGUGUUCAUCUGGAGGACAGACAUCACACUUCUGUCUUUUCCAGUGAUUAUUAUUCCUGCCAAACUUCGCUCGCUUUCAAAAAAAGAAAAAAAAAAAUCUAACAGUAAAAACUGAAAUUUACAGACUUUCGUUUCUACUUGGCCACAGUAGGCUUUUGUUUCUGAGAACCACUGUCUAGCAACACAGUUAUGAGUCACAGUGACUGAUUUGCAGAGUCCCUUUCAAAGCCAGAAAUGGUCCAAACAAACCAAGAACUUAACGUCUUAAAAUUCUAUUUUUGCCCAAGAGAUUUUGGCUCCUUCCUACACUAAAGAAAACUUAAACUCAUCUCAUUUUGGUACAGGAAAACUUGGCUUACAGCGCUGUCAUGAUUUUUAUUUCACUACGUGGAAUGACAUAAUUAAAGUGUGGUAAAAGCCCGGAUUAACACCAGUCACUCAGACCCCACAGCCAGUCACCAGCGUGAGGAAAUCUCUUUUUGUUGGAGGCUUUAUGUGUUAUGGUAAGGACAGAGGAUGACGAGGAUGAUGCCUGUGUGUGUGUGUGUGCAUUCCGUCAUUCACAACACAGAAGCACCUGAGCAGGCACCAGCUGGCAAUGUGAGAGGUGCGCUCUAAUUUAAAAUGCAUCUCAUUAAAAGCAACCCAUAGCCUGUCACUGCACUCUUUCUCUGUAUAAAGACACAGUGUGGAAUUAAUGAUUUUCUUAAAAAAAAAAAAAAAAAAACCUCAAGAAAUAGCUGCUGAAAUGUUUCUCUCAAUAAAUAUGUUACAUAGGAAAGAAUUACGCUUUGUAGCUAUUUUUCUUAUUUUUAAAUAUGUUUUUGUUUUAACCAAUAGGAGUUUAUGUAGAUUUUGCUGUUGAAGUUUGACCUUGAAUUAUGUGUAUUUCUAUUGAGCAGAGAUUGAAGGCUUUUGUUUGUUUGUUGCUAUUGUUUAAAACCCAUUUCCCAUUUGCAGGGAGAAAUAUACUUAAGAGAAGUGUUUAUUCAUUUGUAGAGAUGGCUCCACUGCCAAGGAGAGGAGACUUGAUGGAAGCUCAGAUUCAUUAAAACUUAAUUAAUAUGCAUCAUUAUGUAAAUGAGGGUGCAGUUAAUGAGUUUUUAAAAGAAGCAUUCCUUAAUUAGUUCACUUUUAAUGGCAUCAUCAUUUAUCUUUUUCUUCUUUGAAGCAGAAUGAUGCACUAGAUGCAGGCAGUUCUAAAAUGCUAAUCUACGUUUUAUCAUCUUAUUUUUCUGAUUUCCAUGUGAUAGCAACGACAUCUCGAAUCUCGUCGCUAAUGAGGGACGUUUACACGUUUUAAUGUCGGUUAUUUCAAUUCAAGACACUGUAAAAUUUCUGAAAAAGGGGGAGGACUCCAAACAAACACAGAAUGCUUAUCACAUAUCCUGAGAAAAAAAAAUGAUAAUUAAAAAUGUAUCGACCAGGAGAAGUUAAAUCUAGACCCUUAGGCUACUCACAGAUGCAUUUUUUUUUCCCAGCCCGUUUGGGGAAAAAAAAAAUCUCAACAGUUCCAUUUCCCAGAGAACAACACUGGCAGGGUGUCAGAAGACUUGACAAAACCUGGAGACUUCUGACAGCGUCACACUUCUGGAUAAUUGGUCCCCGGCACUUCCUGUAAAAAGCGAGCAAACUUCCUCCUUUGCAGCGGUCCCAAUAAAACUUUCUUCACAGUGUUGCACCUUAACCAACACCGCAUUUUCUUAUGCAUUGUUAUGCAUGCCACACUGCUGUUUAAACGAUAACGUAAACUGCAGAGGAACUGUUUCUUUUUUUGUUUUGUUUUGUUUUGUUUUUGUUAUCAGAUUUCAGUCAGUAUCAAAUUCUGAGAACACGUGAGAACAUGGCUCUCAGGUGAGAGUUUCAGUUUUUAAAAGGUAAUAUUACGUAUGUGUAUCUGUCCAAGUAUAAUGAUUUUAUAAUGCUGGACAUUUGAAAACUUACUUAUAGAAAAAAACAAAAAACAAAAUGCAAGGAGGUGUUUAAAGUUUUGAAGCUUUUCAUGAGACUUUUACUGCCAAAAGCACAUUAUGUGAACUGUAUGACCUGGGUCUAGUUCAUUCAUACACACACACACACAUACACACACAUCCCCACCCUUUCACAUCUUCUCCUCUGAUGAACAUUUUGAUUGUUCCACCUCAGAAGGAAUCAGUUGCAUCAUUUCUCUUAGGGCAUCGGCACUGGGCGGUACAAGCCUUUUGCAUUAACAAUAAAUUUAUCAUGCAUGAGUAUGGUCCUCUCCUGUGAAUUGAUAAGUGGAUGUGAAUAGGAAAAUGCGGUAUAUUGGCUUGAAAGUGAAAGAGGGGUGAAAUGACACAGUGAGCCUCAAAACCCAAAUGUGGACACCAAUUUUACGUCUAAAUUCACGAGAUGUUUAGAUUUUUGAAUGUGGCGACACACAUUUUUAUGUCAUUUUUCUCCGAAAUCAAACACUGUGACAUUAGAGGACUUUAUAGCUGCACAACAAGAAGUUAGUUUAACUCAUUUCAUUUGAAGCAAUAGCAAAUAAAAUAUCAUUAUUAUUAUGAUUACUAUCAUUAUUAUUAUUAUCAUUAGUCAUUACUAUUAUUAUUUUUAUUAUUAUUAUUAUUGUUAUUAUCACUGCUACUAGUGUUGUUGUUGUUGAAAUGCCUUUGUUUUGCUAUUAUUAUCUCUCUGCUUCCCCUUAUAGAUGAAAUGCAGCAGUUUCUCUCAUUAUUUAGAUGUGCAUUCCUGUGGAAUCAAUUCUCAUAGACACAUAUAAAUUAUUGUUUAACGAGAAGCUGUAUCCUAUAAAUUAUUCAAAGCACCUGGGAUUACAAUACGAGAUCAAAUGAUAGGAAAGAAAGAGCACUCUGCUGGAGGCAGCCCGCACACGAGCCAUCACAUUCCCAGUUUGAUGUUCCACACAAUCUGCUUAUGCAGGAAUAAUUGGGGAGUAACAGACAUCAUGUGUACAGAUACACUGGCCCCGCUUUUGUAUGCCAUAUUUGGAAAGAGGUAAUUGGGCCGCUGGACAUGGUCAGCAAUGUCACCCCAACUCGUGUACACAUUUGUCCUCUGCGCAGGCAAAGUUACCAAGUAAGCUCCUGAAUAACAUGAAAAAAUAAUCAGCUUGUUUAUUCUCUCCUGCAGGAAUCCUUACAAAACUUACAAAGCGUGAAAAAAGAAUGAAAGUUAGGGAGGAGCCACUUGUUUACAGCUCUCACACAGACAUACGGAGGAGAAAAGUGUAAAAAAAAAAAAAAAAAAAAUUCAUGGCCACGUUCCCCAUCCG